GAUGAACGCUGGCGGCGUGCUUAAUACAUGCAAGUCGAACGGAGAGCUAGAAAUAGUUCUUAGUGGCGAACGGGUGAGUAACGCGUUGGUGACCUGCCCCGAAGAUUGGGAUAACAGUUCGAAAGGACUGCUAAUACCGGAUGAGAUUACCCUAGUUAGAGAGGGGUAAUGAAAGGAGAAAUCCGCUUCGGGAGGGGCCUGCGUCCCAUCAGCUAGUUGGUAGGGUAAAGGCCUACCAAGGCGAAGACGGGUAGGGGGCCUGAGAGGGUGACCCCCCACACUGGCACUGAAACACGGGCCAGACACCUACGGGAGGCUG
rnacentral:rRNA from 1 species